rnacentral:rRNA from 1 species
GACGAACGCUGGCGGCGUGCUUAACACAUGCAAGUCGAACGGAAAGGCCUCUUUCGGGGUGUCCUCGAGUGGCGAACGGGUGAGUAACACGUGAGUAACCUGCCCUUGACUUUGGGAUAACUUCAGGAAACUGGGUCUAUUACCCGAUAGGAGCUCCUGCUGCAUGGUGGGGGUUGGAAAGUUUCGGCGGUUGGGGGUGGGCUCGCGGCUUAUCAGCUUGUUGGUGGGGUAGUGGGUUACCAAGGCUUUGACGGGUAGCCGGCCUGAGAGGGUGACCGGCCACAGUGGGACUGAGAGAAGGCCGAGGCGGCGAAGGGAGGCAGCAGGGGGGAAUAUUGCACAAUGGGUGGAAGCCGGAUGCAGCAACGCCGUGGGCGGGAUGACGGCCUUCGGGGUGUAAAACGCUUUCGCUCAUGACGAAGCGGUGUGUGACGGUAGUGGGUAAAGAAGCACCGGCUAACUACGUG